AGAUUGAACGCUGGCGGCAGGCCUAACACAUGCAAGUCGAGCGGCAGCACGGGUACUUGUACCUGGUGGCGAGCGGCGGACGGGUGAGUAAUGCCUAGGAAUCUGCCUGGUAGUGGGGGAUAACGCUCGGAAACGGACGCUAAUACCGCAUACGUCCUACGGGAGAAAGCGAGGGGACCUUCGGGCCUUGCGCUAUCAGAUGAGCCUAGGUCGGAUUAGCUAGUUGGUGAGUAAUGGCUCACCGAAGGCCGACGUAUACCGUAACUGGUCUGGAGGAGGAUGAAUCAGUACACUACUAGGAACUGAGACGACGGU
rnacentral:rRNA from 1 species